ACUAUUAAAUAUUCUGCUAUCAUAUUUUGGUUUUUUCAACUGUUUCUUUCCUCCGACUAACUUAAGCAUCGAAGAAUCUUCCACCGAUCAAUUUUUGAUAAAUAAAUUAAAUUUUAUAAAUUUUUUAUAAAUUUUUUACUAUCUAACAAUCAGUUGCAACACCCCGGCUCCCAACUGAUCAUAUCGUCGGACAUUCACGGCAAC
rnacentral:lncRNA from 1 species